rnacentral:lncRNA from 1 species
AGGACAAAAAAAUUUUUAUUGAAAAUGGAGCUCUUAAAAAGAUGCUUGGUAUAAAUAAGUCAUGCUUCUAUUAAUGACAGGACUAGUUAAAAGGAUAAGAUUUGUAUGUCUGUGUCUCUUGUAAAAUUGAAUCAUCAAUUCUUAAGAAGUGAAACCAGGGUAUAUAAGUAUUACAUAAUAUGCCCAGAAAGUGAUGUGAACAAAAUUCAGACGUACGUUGAAGCUCCCAUUUUAAGAAUCACUCAUAUGACAAAUGUCAUCUUUUGCUCUAUAACCUUUGCUUAAAUUGGAGAAAAGAUGGAUUUAAUGAGACAAAUGAAAAGUGGUUUAACAUAACACACAGCAGAGCAUAUGCUGUUAUGCUUUGGUGUUUGUUCCCUAGCCCUUGUUCCUCAUAAUAGAUUGUGGAAUGUUUCAAAAAUGCCAUAACUUUUUUUGCUAAUUGUGGUCUUAACAAAAAUUGUUCUUGAUUUAAAAAAAAGAUGGAUAGGAUUGGUUAUUGAACUUUGAUAUUAAAUAACGUUUUAGUGAUAGU